rnacentral:rRNA from 1 species
CGUAGGGGCAAGCGUUGUCCGGAAUCACUGGGCGUAAAGGGUUCGCAGGCGGAAAUGCAAGUCAGUUGUGAAAGGCAGAGGCUCAACCUCUGUAAGCAAUUGAAACUGUAUUUCUUGAGAUGUGGAGAGGCAAGUGGAAUUCCUAGUGUAGCGGUGAAAUGCGUAGAUAUUAGGAAGAAUACCGGUGGCGAAGGCGACUUGCUGGACACAAACUGACGCUGAGGAACGAAAGCGUGGGUAGCAAACAGGAUU